GCAGCACAGCUCACAAUGCCAUCCGCUGCUCUGCCACCACAGAUCUUCUGUGAAUGCAGUCUGUCUUCCACAUUAUUUUAAACAGAGGUGUGAAUACCAGGGCGCUAUCUCUAUGUGGACCACUGGCUUUCGUUAGCUGUCGGAGCUUUUGAUGAUGUUGGCAACAAAGAUUGAAGAUGGAAGUUUUUGACCAGGAUUAAGUCACACCUAAGGUUUUAUUAAUGGAAGAAAGCAAUCCUCUGUUAGUGAAGGAGACCACAACUGAACAUCACAAAUAAUUGCAAAACUGGGAGGAGUUUCUGUCUGUUCCCUUGGAGGUCCCUUUCACAUAGCAAAUGAAUAAUGGGUUGCAGUCGGGAUAAAGGAACCUGUUUUCCUGCUUUUGCAUUCACAUGCAUCU